rnacentral:rRNA from 1 species
UACGGAGGGGGCUAGCGUUGUCCGAAGUUACUGGGCGUAAAGCGCGCGUAGGCGGGUUGGUAAGUCCGCUGUGAAAGCCCGGAGCUCAACUCCGGAGGGUCGGUGGAUACUGCCAGUCUUGAAGGUGCUAGGGGGAGAUGGAAUUACCGGUGUAGCGGUGAAAUGCGUAGAUAUCGGUAGGAACACCAGUGGCGAAGGCGGUCUCCUGGGCCGUUGCUGACGCUGAGGCGCGACAGCGUGGGGAGCAAACAGG